GCCCUGCAUUUCAGUCGGUUGAACCUGAUUUGUAAUCAGGGGGUCGCGCGUUCGAGUCGUGCUGGGGGCACCA
rnacentral:tRNA from 1 species